GAGAAUUGCUGUGCAAUAAGCCAGCUCUUCUUGUAUUCAGGUCUAUGUUUCUACAUACCCCACAUGAAAGUAUUUUGAAUGUCGAAACUGGCCUUUGUGCCUUUAAAAACAAAUACAACUUUCAACAACGGAUCUCUUGGCUCUCGCAUCGAUGAAGAACGCAGCGAAAUGCGAUAAGUAAUGUGAAUUGCAGAAUUCAGUGAAUCAUCGAAUCUUUGAACGCACCUUGCGCUCCUUGGUAUUCCGAGGAGCAUGCCUGUUUGAGUGUCAUGAAAUUCUCAACCUCUCUAGUUUUUUCAACUGGUUAGGCUUGGAUUAUGGAAGUUGCUGGCUCAUUGUGAAUCAGCUCUUCUCAAAUGUAUUAGCAAAGACCUUUGCUGCUCAUCAUUGGUAUGAUAAUUAUCUAUAUCGUUGAUAAACAGUGUCCUUCACGGGAGAGAUCUUGCUUCUAAUAGUCUCUUUAGACAAUUUGACAACUUUUGACCUCAAAUCAGGUAGGACUACCCGCUGAACUUAAGCAUAUCAAUAAGCGGAGGAAAAGAAACUAACAAGGAUUCCCCUAGUAACUGCGAGUGAAGCGGGAAAAGCUCAAAUUUAAAAUCUGGUAGUCUUUGGCUGCCCGAGUUGUAAUCUAGAGAAGCGUCUUCCGCGC
rnacentral:rRNA from 1 species